CCUACGGGCGGCAACAGUAGGGAAUCUUCCGCAAUGGACGAAAGUCUGACGGAGCAACGCCGCGUGAGUGAUGAAGGUUUUCGGAUCGUAAAACUCUGUUGUUAGGGAAGAACAAGUACCGUUCGAAUAGGGCGGUACCUUGACGGUACCUAACCAGAAAGCCACGGCUAACUACGUGCCAGCAGCCGCGGUAAUACGUAGGUGGCAAGCGUUGUCCGGAAUUAUUGGGCGUAAAGCGCGCGCAGGCGGUCUCUUAAGUCUGAUGUGAAAGCCCCCGGCUCAACCGGGGAGGGUCAUUGGAAACUGGGAGACUUGAGUGCAGAAGAGAAGAGCGGAAUUCCACGUGUAGCGGUGAAAUGCGUAGAGAUGUGGAGGAACACCAGUGGCGAAGGCGGCUCUUUGGUCUGUAACUGACGCUGAGGCGCGAAAGCGUGGGGAGCAAACA
rnacentral:rRNA from 1 species